GAUGAACGCUGGCGGCGUGCUUAACACAUGCAAGUCGAACGGAAGGGCCCAAGCUUUCUUGGGUACUCGAUUGGCGAACGGGGGAGUAACACGUGUGUGAUCUGUCCUUCACUUCGGGAUAAGCCUUGGAAACUGGGUCUCAUACCGGAUAGGACGAUGUUUUGGAUGCCGUUGUGGAGAGUUUUUGCGGUGUGGGAUGAGCUCGCGGACUAUCAGCUUUUUGGUGGGGUAAUGGCCUACCAACGCGUCGACGGGUAGCCGGCGUGUGAGCGUGUAGGGCCGCAUUGGAAUUGUGAUAGAGGCCAGAGUCGGACGGGAGGCAGAAGGGGGGAAUAUUGGACAAUGGGAGGAAGCGUGAGGCAGGGAGGCCGCGGGGGCGAAGAAGGCUGUUAUGUUGGAAGAUCCUAUCGCUAGGGACGAGGCGUCAUUGUGACGGUACCUAGUGAAGAAGCACCGGCUAACUACGUG
rnacentral:rRNA from 1 species